GACGAACGCUGGCGGCGUGCCUAAUACAUGCAAGUAGAACGCUGAAGAGAGGAGCUUGCUCUUCUUGGAUGAGUUGCGAACGGGUGAGUAACGCGUAGGUAACCUGCCUUGUAGCGGGGGAUAACUAUUGGAAACGAUAGCUAAUACCGCAUAACAAUGGAUGACACAUGUCAUUUAUUUGAAAGGGGCAAUUGCUCCACUACAGGAUGGACCUGCGUUGUAUUAGCUAGUAGGUGAGGUAAUGGCUCACCUAGGCGACGAUACAUAGCCGACCUGAGAGGGUGAUCGGCCACACUGGGACUGAGACACGGCCCAGACUCCUACGGGAGGCAGCAGUAGGGAAUCUUCGGCAAUGGGGGCAACCCUGACCGAGCAACGCCGCGUGAGUGAAGAAGGGUUUCGGAUCGUAAAGCUCUGUUGUAAGUCAAGAACGGGUGUGAGAGUGGAAAGUUCACACUGUGACGGUAGCUUACCAGAAAGGGACGGCUAACUACGUG
rnacentral:rRNA from 1 species